rnacentral:RNase_P_RNA from 1 species
GCGGAUGGCCGGAUGACCGCGGGCGGCAACGCACGAGGAAAGUCCGGACUCCACGGAGCAACGGUGCCGGGUAACGCCCGGCGGGGGCAACCCCAGGGAAAGCGCCACAGAGAACAGACCGCCCCGGUCCGCCGGGGCAAGGGUGAAACGGUGGGGUAAGGGCCCACCGCGGGACUGGCAACAGGACCGGCACGGCAAGCCCCACCGGGAGCAAUGCCAAAUAGGGAUCCCGCGCGGGCAACCGCAGGCGGCUUCGGCCCAGGGGUCCGGGUUGGCAGCUUGAGGCGGAUCGGCAACGAUGCGCCCAGAUGAAUGGUCAUCCACGGGGUUUCGGCCCCCGGACAGAAUCCGGCUUACAGGCCAUCCGCGCGC